GACGAACGCUGGCGGCGUGCUUAACACAUGCAAGUCGAACGGAAAGGCCCUGCUUUUGUGGGGUGCUCGAGUGGCGAACGGGUGAGUAACACGUGAGUAACCUGCCCUUGACUUUGGGAUAACUUCAGGAAACUGGGGCUAAUACCGGAUAGGAGCUCCUGCUGCAUGGUGGGGGUUGGAAAGUUUCGGCGGUUGGGGAUGGACUCGCGGCUUAUCAGCUUGUUGGUGGGGUAGUGGCUUACCCAGGCUUUGACGGGUAGCCGGCCUGAGAGGGUGACCGGCCACAUUGGGACUGAGAGACGGACCAGUGUCCUACGGUAGGCAGUAGGGGGGAAUAUUGUACAAUGGGCCGAAGCCUGAUGCAGCAACCUCGCGUGUGGGAUGACGGUCUUCUGGUUGUAAACCGCUUUCGCCUGUGACGAAGCGGUAGUGACGGUAAUGGGUAAAGAAGCACCGGCUAACUACGUG
rnacentral:rRNA from 1 species